AGUUUGAUCCUGGCUCAGAACGAACGCUGGCGGCGUGGAUAAGACAUGCAAGUCGAACGGAAUAUUUCAGGUAGUAAUAUUUGAAAUGUUCAGUGGCGAACGGGUGCGUAACACGUGGAUAACAUUCCGGGAAGCGGGGGAUAGCCCAGGGAAACUUGGAUUAAUACCGCAUGUGGUCGAAAGACUAAAGGUGGGGACCGCAAGGCCUGCCACUUCCCGAUUGGUCCACGGCCUAUCAGCUAGUUGGUGAGGUAAUGGCUCACCAAGGCUACGACGGGUAGCUGGUCUUAGAGGACGACCAGCCACACUGGAACUGAGACACGGUCCAGACACCUACGGGUGGCAGCAGUCGAGAAUCUUUCACAAUGGGGGCAACCCUGAUGGAGCGACGCCGCGUGGGGGAUAAGGUCUUCGGAUUGUAAACUCCUGUCAUGCGAGAACAAGGCAGCUUGGUUAAUAACCUUGCUGCUUGAUGGUACCGCAAGAGGAAGAGACGGCUAACUCUGUGCCAGCAGCCGCGGUAAUACAGAGGUCUCAAGCGUUGUUCGGAAUCACUGGGCGUAAAGGGUGCGUAGGCUGCGCCGUAAGUCAGAUGUGAAAGCUCAGGGCUCAACCCUGAAAUUGCAUCCGAUACUGCGGUGCUAGAG
rnacentral:rRNA from 1 species